rnacentral:rRNA from 1 species
ACAAAAACAUGGCUUUUUGAGUGGAAUUUAAAGUCGGGCCUGCCCACUGACGCUUAGUUGAAGGGCCGCGGUAUUUUGACCGUGCAAAGGUAGCAUAAUCAUUAGUCUUUUAAUUGAGGGCUGGAAUGAAUGGUUUGACGAAAUAUUAACUGUCUCUUUAUAAUGAAUGGAAUUUACCUUUUGAGUCAAAAGGCUUAAAUGAAUAUAAAAGACGAGAAGACCCUAUAGAUCUUUAUAUAGUAAAAUAGUUACUUUAUUUAGUUGUUUUGUUUAUAAUUAUAUUUACUAUAUUUUGUUGGGGUGACAUGAAGAUAUAAAUAACUCUUUAUAAUAGGAACAUUGAUUUAUGGAUAAUUGAUCCGUUAUUAACGAUUAUAAGAUAAAGUUACCUUAGGGAUAACAGCGUAAUUUUUUUUGAGAGUUCCUAUCGACAAAAAAGAUUGCGACCUCGAUGUUGGAUUAAGGAAUAUGAUUAGGUGUAGCAGCUUAAUUAAUAAGUCUGUUCGACUUUUAAAUCCUUACGUCAUCUGAGUU